GAAGGGGUGUGAGGCAGGGCGGAAGAGAGCAGGGCCCUGGGCAGGUGCUGAGCCAGGUCCUGCAGGUCACCCAGUCGCUUGAGUCCACGAAUGCUGGAGGCAGGCACUGGAGAGCCAGGGUGGUUCAGCCGCAGCUCCUCUGAGCAGGGAGUCAAACAGCUCUGGUGCGGCCUGGCCCUGGCAGUCACAGCUCCUCUCUCUCCCUAUAGGGCUGAAACAGACACCAGCUCUCCAGGACCAGCUGGAGCCUGGACCUGUGGCCUUCCCUGCCUCCACCUGGGCCUCAACCGUCACGACCACCUGGCCUUUGAGGUCUCAUAGAACUCAUCCCCAAAAGUCCUUGUGAAGAUUUAGUUUGUAAGCCAGAUGUCUGCAGACCUCCAGUAAAAGAAUAUGUUUUUGGUAUUAGUAUGUAUGUCCCAAAUAUUGCUUGGAAUAUGCUUAUACAAACAAAAAUCAUUUGUUUUUUAUCUGAAAUUCAAAUUUACCUGGAUGUCCUGUAUUUUAUCUGGAAACCCUACACAGAAAUCAAAUGGCUCACGCUGUGUCUCAGAGCUGCAACGAUCCAACGCCCUCCAUCCUUCAGAGGCUGUCUGAGUCCGGGGACACAACUCCCACCCUCCUCUCCUGCCAGCCGCGGCCCGUGGCUGCUCUCUUCACUUCGUCCCGCUUCGCCCCGACUGUGGAUCUACCCGCUCCCUUCUCCCUCAGUCCCCAAAGCACCAGACUCACAGGCCUGCUGUGUGACCCACUUUUACCGACCUUUCGGGGAGAGUAGAGGGCAUUUGUGACUCAGCUCAGAGCAGGAAACACAUCUCACGUCAACUGUCAGACAGCGCUGCUCCGAAUCCCAUCACAGUGCUCCAGCAGGGGGCGUCCUCACCGGCCGCGGCCACAGCCACGGCUCAACCCGGCCUAGCUCCCAGACACCCUCCUUCCACCGCCUGUUUUCCACCGUCCCCGCCUGCUCUUUCAAGCCAGCAGCAAACAACACCCUAAUCCGUGUCUUUAUUAUUCAAAGACCUUAAGCACUCUUUCCCACCUCGUUCCCAUCUUGAUUAUUUCAGGGAAUGAAUUAGGGAUUCACCUUUACAAUCAAAAAAGUUCUCUCAAAGCCAGGCUACUGGAGUUCUAAUUCUGCCUUCCCACUUUUACUAGCUGUGAAAUCUCAGGAAAGUUACUUAACCUCUCUCUGUCUCAUUUUCCUCAUCUUUAAAAAACAGGAUGAUAAUAUUUAGCUCCUAAGAUGGUUGUGAGGAUUUAAGUGAGCUGAUAUAUCCAAGAAUGUCUAGAACAGCGCGUGGCAGAAUGGGCAUUGCAUAUGGGUUUAAUCUUGUAACUGCCAUGUUUCACCAAUUCUAAGGUGUAUCUCGUUUCUCAUCAUAAGAGCUCUUCCGCUCGUGUGGCAGCUGGGAGUGGCCGUCAUUGCCUGCGCAUACCUAAACUUGGUCAGCAGCCAAGUGUUUUGUGAGACCUAAGAAAGGAAGAGCCCCAUAAGUAAAUGGAACUGUUGUGUUGUUUUAUUACCGAGAAAAGGGCAGAAUGAUUGCUAGUCACACGUGAAGCAAGAAAACCCCGGCAAUAAAGCUUGCAGAAUGAGUGGCUGAGGCUUGAAAAUAAAUGGUGGAAACAAUAGUGGACAAUCUUUUAAAGAAUGGCACAUUGCCAAUGCUCCUGAUGGCACAGAAGGUGACACCAUGCAGAAAAUCAAGGCUCUGAGUCAAAGAGGGUUUCAGAAAAAUUGGACUCUGAAUGUGAAGAAAUCUGGGGACUAUUUUAGCCAAUUUGUUUUGCCUAUAAUUUCCUUUUAUGCAUGCAAAAGAGCAAUUCUGACUUUAAAGACUGAUAUCUAAAUAAAUCUAAAAUAUCUUUUUUGUGUGUGUGUCUGUGAUACAGUGUCUCGCCCUUUCACCCAGGCUGGAGUGCAGUAGUGCAAUCUCAGCUCACU
rnacentral:lncRNA from 10 species